rnacentral:lncRNA from 1 species
UGAUAGCUAAACGUUGGCACAACGUUGUAAGGUUUUAUACAAUACAUUGGCCCAACGUUGGUCCAAUGAUGGAAUAAUACUUGCUGAUGUUGAACAAACGUUAGGCCAACGUAGUUAUACAAACUGUUAGCAAACGUUGGAACGCCGUUGGUUCAAUCUAUAAACCUUUUUAUCCAAAUGAAGGAUACUAAAAUCCCUUCCAGGCAACAACUGCAAUAACUCCUGGUUCUUAUAUCAGUUCAAAA